CUGCAGCUGGACCAGGAAUUACAGGUGCAAUAGUUGAUGGAUGGUUGGUAAGAGAGUCAGGCUGAGAUGAGGCUGGAGAAAUCAACCUACGUGCAUACUCAACAAAUAUAGGAAUCAAGUGAUUAGUUAGCGAAGGAAUCAUUCGCAUCACUAACCCAUCCCUAUUUUCUGUCGGUAUUUCCUAAGCAUUUGGACAUGGUGUUGAGCCCGCAACAUCAAAUCCAGAAGAGACACCAAG
rnacentral:lncRNA from 1 species